UUAAUCACCACUACAUCUUCCAACCACUCUAAAGCAGUGGUUUACUAACUACCCAGGGCAUUAGUACAACAAGAAAGGUUUAUUUAAAACAUAUUGUUGGGGCGUUCUCUUGUGGCUCAGCAGGUUAAGGAUCCGUCAUUGUUGCUGUGGCUCAAGUCAAAGGUGUGGCAUGGGUUCAGUCCCUGGCCUCAAAAAUUCUGGGCCAAAAUAGAAAAAUAAUAAUAAUGAGUAAAACUUAUUGUUGGGACCACACUUUGUGAAAACCACUGCACCAUGACAAUCCUACACAAAGUAUGGUCCUCAGGUUGGUGGACACAUGCUGUCUGUGACCUUCUACAGGGCUGAGCCAGAAACUUAGUUCUGUUAAACUUUUACAGUAGUUGAACAUUACUGGGCAUAUAAACAUGUGAUCGUUUUUCUAACAUUUCAUUUUUAUUAUAGUUUAUAUAUUAUAAUUUCUAUAUUUUCCAAAAGUAUUGGGAUGACAUUUGGAAAAUUAUUUGGAAGUUUGGGAAGCACAGCUCUUCUGCAUGACUGACACACACACAGAGGCACACAGCUCUUCUGCAUGACUCUCACACACACACACACACAAACACACACACACACACACACACACACGCAGACCCCGGAGCACAGGGCCAAGGGCAGCUCCUGCCCACUGGGGGAAACAGGGCAGUCCUGGAGGAUAAUGGCAACCUGAGGGUGUUUCCUGCAACCCGAACACUAGAGUGAGAUACAAUUUCAAAACUGCAGUUUUCAUCGUUCCAUUGCUUCCAGGGACAACACAACACCGCAUCACUGGUGUAAGUGGCCCUCAUUCCAGCGGCUGAUGCAAAAAAGAAAAGAGACUCACACCGGUGAGAAACGGCAGAAAUCGGGUCAGCACUUUCCCCGCCCAAAGUCUGCGGCCUAGCUAACAAUUCAGCAGUGCCCUCAAACCAAAACACUUCCAGCUCUGCCCCACUGCCUGAAGAGUCAAGUCUUCAGAGCCUGGUGUACAUUCUUUUAACUAUUACUUUUGGUGGCAAAUCUUCAACUCUGAAGUCUUUCUGAGCAGAACGUGAAGAAUAAGGCAGGACUCAGAGUACAAAGGAGCUGAGCUGGAAAACCACUCCCAAGAGCAAGGUCCAACAGUGCCCAGAAGCUUCCCAGCACUCUGAAUGCUAAAGUAUUAUUCUAAGGCCCAGCCAGUGUGCCUGCCUUCCUUUAGGAAGUGCUCCUUCCUAAGAGCAUAUUAAGGCUCUUUUUCUGAAGCCUAAGAAAAAUCGGUCAAAAAAUCAAGAAAAUGGGAUUUCUCCUGUGAGAAUUGAUGUUUGGCAAUCAUCAGACAAGCAGUGCCGGUUUGAAGCAAUCUCUCGAUACCAAGUUAAAAGCAAGAGCAGGAAGUGCUGCCAGAUGGAGGCCAUGCUAAGGUUGACAUUUCUGGGAACUUGGACAGGAUGUGCAGGAGGAAAGUGGUCACAAAUGUCAUCAGUCUGCUCAUAGUUGCCCUAUUAUAAGUAUGUGCUCAUGGGGCCAGUCUGCUGCUAAUGGUAAAUCAUUUGCAAACAAAAUGAGUAUUACUAAGUUUGAAUACAUUAUAUAAACUCCAUGAGUGAUAUUCUAAGAAAUAAGAGUUGGAAGCAAAAUAAGUCCUUAAAUUAGCUAUGCCAACAUGUAAUCUGUGUAGUACUGUUAAAUUUACUAGGAUAUCCAAAUAUUACAUUAUUUGAAUACUGCUCAAUAAGGCUUACUGGUGUUUUCCAGGGUUUGAGUAUUCUCUAUAGACUUUCGUUUCUUAUAAAUAGUUUAUCAGAAAAAAAUGCAAAGAGAAUAAGAUGUAAAAACUGUCAGAGUUCUUUUACUAUGAGGUGUGUUAAGGAUCUGGCAUUGUCACUGAAGCAGCUUGAGUCACUGCUGUGGCUCAGGUUCAGUCCCUGUUCUGGGAACUUCCACAUGCCAUGGGUGCAGGCAAAAAAACUGUCAUAGAUUGAUUCAAAAUGGACUUAGAAAUAAAUCUCAAAUCUGAAUUAGCAAGAGAAAUAUUGAUUUCAAUAGCAAAAUCAAAAUAGGAAAAAGCAAAAAAUAUUUGUAUUGUUAAAAAAGGAAAUGAGUUGAAAUACAGCAAUAUGAACCUUGGUAUUCAACUUGAAGAUGAUUUUGGAUGCACUCUUAACAAUUCUACCAAUACCAAUGCAAAUUUAAAGAAAUGUCUCUACAUUCAAAAUGUUUGUCAGAAAAAGAGCUCAAAAUUGCUGUUAUUACUAUUAUUAUUACUACUAUUACUAUUAUUACAUUAUUAUUAUUUUGCUCUUUAGGGCUACACCCAGAGCAUAUGGAAGU